AGAGUGAGUAAAAAAUCAAUGCGUGUACUAACCAUCAUAAAACGAUGACGUAAUCGUGUGGUGUUUCUUUUAACCAUUAACCUCCGUGCUUGCUUCGGCUAUUUAUUAAUUUUUUUAUUUUUUUAUAUUUCCUUUAGGACGGAUUAAAAAUUGAAAUUAAUAAAACAAAAAACAUUCGGUAAAUGUUGUGAAAAGUGUAAAAAUUGCAAGUGUAGUUUAUUUUUUAGUGAAAAAAAGUGAUCUCCAUGUUUUAUUGAGUUUUAUUUUAAAAUGUGUGUUAAGUGUGCGUGUUAAUUUAAUUUUUAAAUUUGUGUUAAUGAUGUCAAUUUUUGAGCUUCAUUUUUAAAUGUGUAUUUGUGUUAAAGUUGUAGUAUAUUUUAAAAUGUGGCCAUUGUAGGCGAAAAAAAGAAGAAAAUGGCAGUGUAUAAAAUUAAAAUGGCCGCAAAGAAGCAUUUUUGAAGUGAAUGCUUUUUUCUGUGGUUUUUAAAAGUGUAGUGUCCUGAGUAUAGAACCAUCGUUUUAUCCGGUUGCCUGACCCGGAUACAACAGCCAAAGAUGUCUCUUCACGAUUCGGAAAAAGUCUCAAAAUUAAUUUACCAAAAGUUGCUAAACCCUGGUACGGGCAGAAGCAAAAGGAAUCGCUUCCUACGCCGGCGAAGCACGAAACCACGUAGAUCACGCCCGGUUUUAAAUCUUCAAUCAAUUCUUUAAUAAACAACAUCAAAAUUUCAAAGCAACCAAAAUCACCUAAAAAAAAGUUUGAGGAAUCCCCGGCUACUG